ACAGCAGUAGCCGCGGUAAUACGGAGGGAGCUAGCGUUGGUCGGAAUUACUGGGCGUAAAGCGCGCGUAGGCGGUUACUCAAGUCAGAGGUGAAAGCCCGGGGCUCAACCCCGGAACUGCCUUUGAAACUAGGUGACUAGAAUCUUGGAGAGGUCAGUGGAAUUCCGAGUGUAGAGGUGAAAUUCGUAGAUAUUCGGAAGAACACCAGUGGCGAAGGCGACUGACUGGACAAGUAUUGACGCUGAGGUGCGAAAGCGUGGGGAGCAAACAGGAUUAGAUACCCCCGUAGUCCCUGUCUCUUAUAC
rnacentral:rRNA from 1 species